rnacentral:rRNA from 1 species
GUAGGGAAUAUUGGGCAAUGGGGGAAACCCUGACCCAGCAACGCCGCGUGAGGGAAGAAGGCCUAACGGUUGUAAACCUCUGUCAUAUGGGAAGAAGGAAUGACAGUACCAUAUGAGGAAGCUCCGGCUAACUACGUGCCAGCAGCCGCGGUAAUACGUAGGGAGCAAGCGUUGUCCGGAAUUACUGGGCGUAAAGGGUGCGUAGGCGGCAUGUUAAGUUUGAUGUCAAAUACCCGGGCUUAACCCGGGGACGCAUCUAAAACUGGCGUGCUUGAGUGCAGGAGAGGAAAGCGGAAUUCCCCGUGUAGCGGUGAAAUGCGUAGAUAUGGGGAGGAACACCAGUGGCGAAGGCGGCUUUCUGGACGGUGUCUGACACUGAGGCGCGAAAGCUAGGGGAGCGAACGGGAUUAGAAACCCGGGUAGUCC